UACGUAGGGUGCGAGCGUUACUCGGAAUUACUGGGCGUAAAGCGUGCGUAGGUGGUUCGUUGUGUCUGUGGUGAAAGCCCCGGGCUUAACCUGGGAAUGGCCAUGGAAACUGGCGAGCUGGAGUGUGGCAGAGGGGGGUGGAAUUCCGCGUGUAGCAGUGAAAUGCGUAGAGAUGCGGAGGAACACCGAUGGCGAAGGCAGCCCCCUGGGCUAACACUGACGCUGAGGCACGAAAGCGUGGGGAGCAAACAGG
rnacentral:rRNA from 1 species